GGGCGGUGCGCAUAACGGAAUUAUUGCGGGCAGGAUACGCCGAUUGUGGGUUCAAGUCCCACACCGCCCUCCA
rnacentral:tRNA from 1 species